UCCCCUUCUUCACCGCCGCUGCAGGGCAACCCAUUCUCCACCGCCGUCGUCGCUCCCCGGCCACCAACCUCCCCCUCUCCAAUACUGUCGCUGCUUCUCGGACAGGGCGACUCACCUCCCCACCGUUGCCCCUGCUUCCCGGUAGCCCACACCCCUACUUCAGCCCAUCGCACCCCUGCUUCCCUUCUUCCCCACCGUCGCUGCAAGGCAACUCUUUCUCCACUGCCAUUGCUCCCCAGCCAGAGACCUUUGCCUCCAUGCUGCCCCAUCUCACUCGAGCGAGAAGGGCCACGACAACUACUUC
rnacentral:lncRNA from 1 species